CCCCUCUCAGGAUGGCACCUGGAGAGCCACCAGUCCUCUACCAGUCUCAGCUACGGGAGGGAGAGUCGAGCGGAGGCAUAUCCAUUCCGUUCCUAGCUUGCCCAGUGGCUGGCGAGUGAAAGACGAUCUGCUACAGGU